UACGAAGGGGGCUAGCGUUGUUCGGAAUUACUGGGCGUAAAGCGCACGUAGGCGGAUACUUAAGUCAGGGGUGAAAUCCCGGGGCUCAACCCCGGAACUGCCUUUGAUACUGGGUAUCUCGAGUCCGGAAGAGGCGAGUGGAAUUCCCGGUGUAGCGGUGAAAUGCGCAGAUAUCGGGAGGAACACCAAUGGCGAAGGCAGCUCGCUGGGACGGUACUGACGCUGAGGCGCGAAAGCGUGGGGAGCAAACAGG
rnacentral:rRNA from 1 species